rnacentral:lncRNA from 1 species
CGCCCUUUUUUUUUUAGCAACAUCAGCAACAGAGCACUAGCGAUCUCCUAUAGCACUUAUUACUUUUUUUUAGAGGAAAAUUGCAUUUUAUCUCAGCCAUCAAUCUCCUGUAGGCUGUAGCACUUACUAGUAUUUUUUAUGAGAUCCUGUAGCACUUACUACCCAGUAGCGAAAUGUGUAACCCCAAAUAUUAUCCAAGAAACACCGGAACACACACAAAGUUAGAAGCUAAAUUUUCCACCAAAGAAAAAAGUUAGAAGCUAAUGAAGGCCCAUUGGACCCGUAUUUGAGCUCAAAUAAAUGCUUUCUCGGCCC